CCAGUAUUUUUUUUGUUUUUUUUUUAAUUGUGGUAGAGUACACAUAAUAUUUGCUAUCUUAUCCAUUUUCAAGUGUAUAGUUUAGUACUGUUAACUAUAUUUACAUUGUUGAGCAACCAAUCUCCAGAACUUUUUCAUCUUGCAGAACUGAAACCCUGUAUCAUUAACCAACUGCCCAUUUCCUCCUUCCUCCAGCCCCUGGCAACCACCAUUCUACUUUCUUUCUGUAUGAGUUUAACUACUCUAGAUACCUCAUAUAAGUGGAAUCAUGUUGUAUUUACCUUUUUGUGACUGGUUUAUUUCACUUAGCAUAAUAUCCUCAAGAUUCAUCCAUGGUGUAGCAUGUGUUAGAAUGUCCUUCCUCUUAAAGGCUAAAUAAUAUUUCACUGUAUGUAUAUAACACAUUUUGUUUAUCCAUUCUUCUGUUAGUGGAUAUUGGAUUGCUUCCACCUUUUGACUAUUGCGAGUAAUGCUGCUGUGAACAUGAGUGUAGUACCAAUAUUUUUAUCUGAGAAAAAUGAUUUCCUAUAGAGGUACUCUUGUUUCCUUAGAAAUAAAAGUUCUUACUUGAGCCGGGGUCUGUUAGAAAAUACUGUAAGGCCUCUUUUUAGUCUUAUCCAUUGAAAUAGUUCAGCUUACAGAAUAAAGCCAAUACCCAUAUAGUUGAAAUACUCUGGUACUAGAACAAAGCUGAAGAUAAGAGACUGUGCAGAGGACACUGAAAAUGCAAAGUGACUCACGUGUGAGAGUUUGGAGUUUGGCGGGACCUACUGUGCUCAGGGAAAAUCAUUUAACAUGCUCAGUCUUAGCUAUCCCAUCUACAAAAUGGGGGUGGAUACGUUUUAAUUUCCUUCUCUAAAGUUUGAAACAUUGCCGAUUUGAGAUAUUCUGUAGCACACAGAAGGUAGAGGUCUGACGAUUUUCAUUACUGUUGCUGAGCUCCCUGAGGGCAGGGACUGGGUGGUCUGGGCACUACCAUCCUUAGGGCCUGACAGUCUGGUGCAGGUGGGAGGGGCCUGUAAAUGUUGACUGAGGAAUAUUUACCAUGGUAUUUCGGCCUUCCUCUAAUGUUAGAAAGUUUAUACGAAUUAGGAUUGCUUUGAUGUUAGGUUUGAUAUCUGAAACUACUUAUGAAUUAUAAUUCAUACGUAUGAAAUCUGUUUCUCUUAGAGAGCUAUUUUGGAAUGUGAGUUUAUUGCUGAAAACCAGUAUUUUGUGACAGAAAGAAGGUUCCAUAGAAUAUUCCAGAGAUCUGUUGCCUGACAGUCUUGCCUUCCCUCCAUUUUCCUGUGACUGAAACAGAAGUUCAAAUGAAAAGCUCUCUUAUCCUAGAAUGGCUUUCUUCUUAGGAUGCAUUGACUCCUUGGAUCCUUACAAGUUGUGGAUGUUCCUCUUAGAAAUAAAGCCAUUCCUGCUCCUGACCCUAAUACAUGUCCAUGGAAUUGGUCAUCUCCAAACAUCAUCAUCAUCAUCAUCUUCAUCAUAGCUACAAUUAAUUGGCAGUUCCGGGAGAAGGCGGGAAGGCUAAAACAAACUUUUAUCUAGCAUAAUUUUAUCUAGCAUAACCUGUGCGCUUUGAGGGUAGAGAGGACCUCGCUGUCUGCCUCCCUAACAAAUGGCUGUAUUAAAGGAGGCAGUACUUUUAAAAAAACUUUACACAUAAUAUUUAUAUAUUAUGUCCUCUUAAAUGAAUGAUGAUUAAGUAAAUCCAGUUAAUUGACAGUAGCUGUCUGAGGAAGUAUUAAAAAGGAAUAUGAUGCUUUUGUAGAGGCUUAGGAGGAAAAAAAAAAUGCCAGGACUCUUGGGCAACCUUUGCUAUGGAUAUGGGGUAGGAUUGGACAGGGAAAUGGAAACACAGGUACUUAUUGGCUGUUAUCCCUGUUUUAAAUGCUGCCCUUGGUAUUCACUCAACCUUGAUUUACCUAUAAAAGAAUGGCUCACUCAGCCAGGCUGCCUACAGGAGGACUUGAUCUUCAAUGUACCCAGUACAGAAAUUCUUUGCUUACAGCUUGUAGUGAGAAAUGACCUGUAGCUGCAGCAUCUAUCUAUUCAAAUGUGGUCUUGCAGUAAAGGUAGCUCUUUAUCAAUCUGCUUUAGCACGUCUGUUUCAGAACUACAGUUUCAGAAUGAAGUGACUGCAGGACUAAGCCUUCUAAAAGACAGGCUUUAAAUUGGCUGUCAGGGAUCUUAUAUAUGUCGGCAGUUAGACUGUGAAUAUAAAAAAAGACUAAUCAUGUUCAUGCUAGCAGCCAGUCCAUGACACAGGUGAUCUAGAUUGUGGUCAUCUGAAUGGUCCAUUCAGAACACUGUACCAUUGAUCAUAAAUACAGCAUGAUCACAAGAUGAAUCUGA